ACACAACUCACCAAACCAAGAAAGAAGAAGCGCUGAGGAGAGAGGGUUGUAGAGAGGGGAAGAAUGGGGACGGCCCAGAGGUCUGACCUAUUUAUACCCCAGCCAGGCCCUGCCCAUAGCAGGGGACAGGGGAGAGCGGAUACUGCCUUCCUGCUGUGGGCUGAUGCGCGCCCUGCGUAUUCCUGGAAGGUGCACACGAUGGCAGCUACCGCCUGCUCCAGAGGCCUGGCCAUCCUCACUGUCACAGAACAAGGGUGUGGCUCACAGCAGAGUUCCAGGCCAGCCCCCCAGCUCACCUCUGCCCUCUGUGUUUCUCAGAGACUGUUCCCAGACCCAUCUUAACCUCCAUCAGGCUUCAGGCCCCGCAGUCUCCCCCUCCUCUGAGUAGCCCUCCCAGACCACACCAGCCCCUCCUAAUUUAUCCCCCUGCUGUCCUGUUGUUAUUUCCCCAUGUAGAGGUCUCAUUGCCCCAACAUCGCUGUAAACUCCUCAGAGAGACAGCAUCCUACCCCACCACCCACACACCCCACCGUGGGGCUCCUUAAGCACUCUCAGAUUAUCUGCCACCUCUUCUUAUCCCCAACACCCAGGGAUGGCUCGGUCCCAGUCUGCCCCAGCCCAUGAGAUGCCCUAGAAGCCUCCCUCCCUGCAGGAACUUGCACAAGGAGAGCCUGGCCCUGUGCUUCUCUGCCCUCAGCCCUUGGAGAAGCUAGGCCUUAGCAGGGAGGGGCAGGUCUGAGAGGCGCCCCCACAGCCUCACCACCACUGCCCUCACCCUGCCUCCUGCCCUGAACUCGAGGAAGCUGCACCCAGAAGAAAAACUUGUGGGAUCCUCUCUGCCUGUCGCCAGCUGUGCAACCUUGGAAGAGAACCCAAAACCUAGAAGAGCGUGAGAGGGAAAAGAGGAAGGAGAUUGACUCCCAGGCCGGCAAAGAAGCCUUCCUGCCCGUGCAGGCAGCCAGAGCGCCAGUGACACCUUCGACCUCGCCCUCGGCCCCCAGCACCCAAGCCUUGCCUGUGCCGUCCUCUCCUUGGAGACUCAGCCCUGUUGAGGAGGGGAGUGAGCAAUAGAGGAGGGAAGGAAAAGAGGAGCUGUGAUUAGCCCUGUUUUAUAAUGGGCUACAUAGCCCUGUUUUAUAUGGGCUUUUUAAUGGAAGUAUGGGGAGCAGGGGGCAGAGAACAAGAGACAGUCACGCAGCAGAAGGGGGGGCCAGAGUGCACCAGCAAUUAAUUCAGCUCUAGGUCGAGCUUAAUUAUUCCCACCUAUGAUAUCCCAGCUCUGCCCCCAGCCACCUCCCUUAAGCAGCCUACCUCUGCUCUCGGGGCUUCAUUUUACUCACCUGUCAGUGAUGGAGGGUGAUAAUAGUAACUACCUCAUAGGUUUGUGCGG